rnacentral:rRNA from 1 species
GACGAACGCUGGCGGCGUGCUUAACACAUGCAAGUCGAACGGUAAGGCCCUUCGGGGUACACGAGUGGCGAACGGGUGAGUAACACGUGGGUGAUCUGCCCUGCACUUCGGGAUAAGCCUGGGAAACUGGGUCUAAUACCGGAUAGGACCACUGCCUGCAUGGGUGGUGGUGGAAAGCUUUUGCGGUGUGGGAUGGGCCCGCGGCCUAUCAGCUUGUUGGUGGGGUGAUGGCCUACCAAGGCGACGACGGGUAGCCGGCCUGGGAGGGUGACCGGCCACACUGGGACUGGGAUACGGCCCAGACUCCUACGGGAGGCAGCAGUGGGGAAUAUUGCACAAUGGGCGCAAGCCUGAUGCAGCGACGCCGCGUGAGGGAUGACGGCCUUCGGGUUGUAAACCUCUUACAGCACCGACGAAGCGCAAGUGACGGUAGGUGCAGAAGAAGGACCGGCCAACUACGUGCCAGCCGCCGCAGUAA